AACCGGAUUAGAUACCCUGGUAGUCCACGCCGUANACGAUGAAUACUAAGUGUUGGAGGGUUUCCGCCCUUCAGUGCUGCAGCUAACGCAUUAAGUAUUCCGCCUGGGGAGUACGACCGCAAGGUUGAAACUCAAAGGAAUUGACGGGGGCCCGCACAAGCGGUGGAGCAUGUGGUUUAAUUCGAAGCAACGCGAAGAACCUUACCAGGUCUUGACAUCUUCUGCCAGGCUGAGAGAUCAGCUGUUCCCUUCGGGGACAGAAUGACAGGUGGUGCAUGGUUGUCGUCAGCUCGUGUCGUGAGAUGUUGGGUUAAGUCCCGCAACGAGCGCAACCCUUAUGUUCAGUUGCCAGCAUUCAGUUGGGCACUCUGGACAGACUGCCGGUGACAAACCGGAGGAAGGCGGGGAUGACGUCAAAUCAUCAUGCCCCUUAUGACCUGGGCUACACACGUGCUACAAUGGGUGGUACAACGAGCAGCGAGACCGCGAGGUCAAGCGAAUCUCUAAAAACCAUCCUCAGUUCGGAUUGCAGGCUGCAACUCGCCUGCAUGAAGCUGGAAUCGCUAGUAAUCGCGGAUCAGCACGCCGCGGUGAAUACGUUCCCGGGCCUUGUACACACCGCCCGUCACACCAUGAGAGUUUGUAACACCCAAA
rnacentral:rRNA from 1 species